AUUGAACGCUGGCGGCAGGCCUAACACAUGCAAGUCGAGCGAGCGGCGGACGGGUGAGUAAUGUAUGGGGAUCUGCCCGAUGGAGGGGGCUAACUACGGGAAACGGUAGCUAAUACCGCAUACCAUCGUAUGUGCCCAGAUGGGAGUAGCUAGUAGGUGGGGUAACGGCUCACCAAGGCGACGAUCCCUAGCUGGUCUGAGAGGAUGACCAGCCACACUGGAACUGAGACACGGCCCAGACUCCUACGGGAGGCAGCAGUGGGGAAUAUUGCACAAUGGACGCAAGUCUGAUCCAGCCACGCCGCGUGUGUGAAGAAGGCCUUCGGGUUGUAAAGUACUUUCAUCAGGGAGGCGUUACUCGAACAGGAAGCACCGGCUAACUCCGUGCCAGCAGCCGCGGUAAUAC
rnacentral:rRNA from 1 species